rnacentral:rRNA from 1 species
UACGAAGGGGGCUAGCGUUGCUCGGAAUCACUGGGCGUAAAGGGUGCGUAGGCGGGUUUUAAGUCAGGGGUGAAAUCCUGGAGCUCAACUCCAGAACUGCCUUUGAUACUGAAGAUCUUGAGUCCGGGAGAGGUGAGUGGAACUGCGAGUGUAGAGGUGAAAUUCGUAGAUAUUCGCAAGAACACCAGUGGCGAAGGCGGCUCACUGGCCCGGUACUGACGCUGAGGCGCGAAAGCGUGGGAGCAAACAGG